UGGGGAAUAUUGGACAAUGGGCGCAAGCCUGAUCCAGCCAUACCGCGUGGGUGAAGAAGGCCUUCGGGUUGUAAAGCCCUUUUGUUGGGAAAGAAAUCCAGCUGGUUAAUACCCGGUUGGGAUGACGGUACCCAAAGAAUAAGCACCGGCUAACUUCGUGCCAGCAGCCGCGGUAAUACGAAGGGUGCAAGCGUUACUCGGAAUUACUGGGCGUAAAGCGUGCGUAGGUGGUCGUUUAAGUCCGUUGUGAAAGCCCUGGGCUCAACCUGGGAACUGCAGUGGAUACUGGACGACUAGAGUGUGGUAGAGGGUAGCGGAAUUCCUGGUGUAGCAGUGAAAUGCGUAGAGAUCAGGAGGAACAUCCAUGGCGAAGGCAGCUACCUGGACCAACACUGACACUGAGGCACGAAAGCGUGGGGAGCAAACAGGAUUAGAUACCCUGGUAGUCCACGCCCUAAACGAUGCGAACUGGAUGUUGGGUGCAAUUUGGCACGCAGUAUCGAAGCUAACGCGUUAAGUUCGCCGCCUGGGGAGUACGGUCGCAAGACU
rnacentral:rRNA from 1 species